GGUCAGUGAUGAUGAUACUUAGCUCACUUUGAGUGCCAGUGAAAUUACAUGAACAUCUGAGGCCU
ensembl:snoRNA SNORD29 Small nucleolar RNA SNORD29